rnacentral:rRNA from 1 species
AGAGUUUGAUCCUGGCUCAGGACGAACGCUGGCGGCGUGCUUAACACAUGCAAGUCGAACGAUGAAGCGGUGCUUGCACCGUGGAUUAGUGGCGAACGGGUGAGUAAUACGUGAGUGACCUACCUUUGACUCUGGGAUAAGCCUGGGAAACUGGGUCUAAUACCGGAUACGACCAAUCUCUGCAUGGGGUGUUGGUGGAAAGCGUUAUGGAGUGGUUUUAGAUGGGCUCACGGCCUAUCAGCUUGUUGGUGAGGUAAUGGCUUACCAAGGCGACGACGGGUAGCCGGCCUGAGAGGGUGACCGGCCACACUGGGACUGAGACACGGCCCAGACUCCUACGGGAGGCAGCAGUGGGGAAUAUUGCACAAUGGGCGCAAGCCUGAUGCAGCGACGCCGCGUGAGGGAUGACGGCCUUCGGGUUGUAAACCUCUGUUAGCAUCGAAGAAGCGAAAGUGACGGUAGGUGCAGAGAAAGCGCCGGCUAACUACGUGCCAGCAGCCGCGGUAAUACAAU